GUGCACUGCACUCCCUGUGCCGGCCGAGCAGCCUGAGCUGGACAUCCCCUUACCUGCAGCCUGCAGCCCCCACAACAGCUCCAUGGCCCCAUGCCCGUAUCCUGGGAUCACGGCACCGGAUGGGCAUCCCCCAUGCCCGGAUUCCGCACUCAUGGCACCGGCUGGGCAUCCAUGUGCCUGCAUCCUGGGCUCACGGUACCAACCGGGCAUCCCUGCGCCUGCAUCCUGCAUCCACGUGCCUGUAUCCUGGACUCAAGGUACCAAUGGGUAUCCCUGUGCCUGUAUCCUGGACUCAAGGUACCAAUGGGUAUCCCUGUGCCUGUAUCCUGCAUCCACGUGCCCAUAUCCUGGACUCAAGGUACCAACUGGGCAUCCUUGUGCCUGUGUCCUGCAUCCACGUGCCUGUAUCCUGGACUCACGGUACCAACUGGGCAUCCUUGUGCCUGUGUCCUGCAUCCCUGUGCCUGUAUCCCAUACUCACCUUGCUGUCCAUGUGCUGGAUCAUCCCUGACCCUGCUCCUGCUGCGACAGCCCCAUCCCGUAUCCCACACAUACUUCACCACACUCUGGGUCCUCUGUGUCCUGCACCCACCUCGUGCCCACUGGUGGGGUCCCCCCAUGUCCAUCAUCUGUGUGCCAGGUACCCCAGGGUCACAUCCUGACACCACUCCAGUGCCGCGGCAGGAGCACCCUGUGCUGUGUCCUGCACCCACCUCACUGUCUCCAUUGUGGGGACACCCUCGUGCCCAGGUGAGGAGCCCACCUUGUCCCACAGCAGGGCCAUGGGGUGCCCAUAUCCUGCACCCACCUCAUCUGUAUGGCGAGGGCACCCCUGUGUCCGUAUCCUGAUCCCAUGCUGUCCAUGGCAGGGCCUGUAUCCUGCACCCAUGUCCCAGGACACUCCUGUACCCAUAUCCUUACACCCACCUUGUCCAUGGCUGGGCUACUCCUUGGCCAUAUCUUGCACCCACCUCACUGCACCCAUAGCAGGGGCUCCCCUGUGCCCACAUCCUGCACCCACCUUGUCCCAUGUCAGGGCAUCCCCAUGCCUAUAUCCUGCACCCAUCACACUGCACCCAUGGGGGG
rnacentral:lncRNA from 14 species